rnacentral:lncRNA from 1 species
ACUUCUAUCUCCAAAAAAUCUCCUGCUGUCUAAGAAGCGAAUCAUGUAGAGCCAAGUGUGACCUGAGCUCCCCCAGCUCCCCCUCCGAUAAGCCUCCACUCUGCACCUCCUGAGACUGUAAACUGGAUAUGACCUCCUCCAAAUCCUCAAUCCUCCUGAAAAUAUUCCCCACCUCCUCACGGUUCCACCUCCUCAACCGUCUAGA